rnacentral:rRNA from 1 species
CAGCCGCCACGGGAAUACGAAGGGGGCUAGCGUUGUUCGGAAUUACUGGGCGUAAAGCGCACGUAGGCGGAUAUUUAAGUCAGGGGUGAAAUCCCAGAGCUCAACUCUGGAACUGCCUUUGAUACUGGGUAUCUUGAGUAUGGAAGAGGUGAGUGGAAUUCCGAGUGUAGAGGUGAAAUUCGUAGAUAUUCGGAGGAACACCAGUGGCGAAGGCGGCUCACUGGUCCAUUACUGACGCUGAGGUGCGAAAGCGUGGGGAGCAAACAGGAUUAGAUACCCCAGUAGUCCCUGUCUCUUAUAA